CUUAUUCUAAAAACAUAACUAGUAAUUUUUUUCAUAUCGAUCCUGUUGUGGUUGAUCCUGUUGUUGUGGUUGAUCCUCCUGAUUGUCCUGAGGUUGAUCCUCCUGUGCUUGUUGUGGUUGCUGAACAUUAGGUUGUGAAAGAUUUUGGGAUUGAAAAAAUUCUUGUGCAGCUACUGUUGCAGAAGGCGGAAGGUGUUACAAUAUGGCGCCAAUAAAACCUUCAAAUUUAGAAUUUAUCUCCCGAAGUCGGCGAAGUUCCUCAUCAUGGGUUGAUACUAUAUUUUGAAGGUUAGAAAUGUCCUGCACAAUCGGUUGCUGAGAAGAAGAUGCCUGUGUCUGUUGUAUGUAACUAUCGACACAGUCAUCUCUACCACUGACAUGUCCAAUGCCAUAAACCCGUCCCUUGUACCUUCCACCAACAACCUCCAUCCA
rnacentral:lncRNA from 1 species